UAAGCAGCACACAAGUCAAAACUGUCUCUCUCUCAUAAUUGUAAGUGAGCAGUAUUCACACUUAUACUCAUUCCGUGAAUAAUUUGCCUGCUUCAUAGUCAAUUUUUUGCAAGUAGCUCAAAGUCAUCAUUCACUGCAAAUCACUGGUUUGUUUGGUGGAUAUCGAAAAUUGUUUAAACUACAAACAACAAUAAUGGAACAUUACGUAUAAAAGUAAACAUAAUAACAAUAUACAUAUGCUCAUUUCUGUUUGUAUGCAGGAUGUUAAUGACAUUUCAAUACCAAAACAUAUAGUGUAUGUGAUUUAUCGUAUUUAGUAUAAACAAAAUGUACAUCUUGGGACAUAUAUUUGUAAAUAAUAUAUAAUUCAGAAGCUGGAUGCUAUUAAGACCCGUACGGUAAAUGUGGUAUUGAUGACCUUCUCACUGCCAUACAAAAGCCAUUAAAAGGCAAAAAAAGGCCGAGGUGGAAGCGCAUUUCGCGUCAAAGCGGCAAAGAUGCACCACUCAAUUAUAGCAGGAUCAGCGAAAAAUGCUACUCCCUUCCUUCCUUUUCCUUCCUUAGCGAACAAAAUGUGUCAAAAAUUGAGCCCGUAGAAAUCAACCAUCUUUGUUUGUUUUCAUUCGAACAAUGUUGCCAUUGCUCAAUACUCAUAUAUAGUUUUAUACACAUCUAUGAUUCAAAUUACAAUUUUUCGUAAUACAAAAUAUCAAAACUGAAAACAAACUAUUAAAAAAAGUUUAAAUAUUUAUAAAUAAUAGCAUUCGACUCUGAUUUUGAGUUAGUUUAAGAAAAUUUCAAACAUAUUGGAGACAAUUUUUAUAAUUACUACAGUAUAUCGAGAAUGGCAACCCUGCGUUGUGAGAGAACAAGCAGCUGACACGUUUCUACGGCAAGCACCCAAAUACCGUGGAAAUCUACGGUAUCCUAUGGUAAAGCGGAAGGCUGAUCAUUUACAUUGCGCUCUCAUAAGAUAUGUCGUAUCAGCUGAUUCGGGUCACGGGUUUACGGAAUUCGCUGUUUGCGCUCUUAGUCUCAUUACCGGUGAUGUGGAGAACUCGAUUCGAAACUGACAAUCGCAGUAUAUACAGUAGAAAACCUUUUCGUAGUAGAUUUCUGAGGGGUGAAUAGCGGUCAUCUGGGAUUUUCUGUAAAGCAAAUAACAAAAAUUAUAAUUAUCGUUUCUUAAUAUUAAGGAAAUUAUUUAUUAAUGAUAUAUAUUUACUAAUAUUUGAUUUAAACGCCAUAGUGUGCAAUAUUUCGCCCAUUAAAAUAUGACUUACUGAUAUUCAGAUAUUCUUAUUAUCUUUUCCUAUUGCAAGCAAAAAUUUAGAAAUAUUUGAAGCGUGUUUAAAAAUUGCACAAAAAAAAACAACUGAUUUAACAUUAAACAACUAGUAAUAUCCCAAUAAAAUUGAUCAGAUAUGCAAAGUAAUUCAAUACAAUCACUUAAAUAACGUAAACACUUGCAUUAUUUAAUAUCUUCUAAAGUGUUGCUCAUUAAAAUUUACAAUUUAUAUGUAGCUUAAAUGCUAACACAACACCCUAAGAUUUUCUAUAGUUGAGUUUAUGGAUGUAAACAAAGCAAAGGUUUAUUACUGUAUAUACUGAGCUGAUCAUGUCAUUGGAAAAGCACCUGCGCGUCGUGGAAAAAAAAUUAUAAAAAAGGGAAAGCACGAAUGCUAUGCAUUGAAGGUGUCUUGACAUUUCCACCAGAGGUAAAGAGAUGCCCAACUCUCCUGUCAUUGGAAAUGAGAGACCCGUUCACCUACCCAAUUUUGACAGUUGAUUAGAUCUGGUAGGUUUUGAUGUUUCGCAACUGGAAGAAAAGAGACGGUAUCUUUCGGUAUAUUUGGCACAACAGUCAGUAAAUUCAGCCUCCACGAUGAAACAUUCCCAAGUGAGUUGAGGCUCAUCCACUUCGCCGGGGCCCGAUAUAUGGUUAUCUGUAGUACUAGAUUCCAACAUAGAACAAUUCACCAAGCUACCUGGCUGUCUCCGGAUCGUAAAACGUUCAACCAGAUCGAUCAUGUCGUGAUAGAGUGAUAGACCGAAGAGACGUGUUAAGUGUUUUAGACAAAUAGUGUUAUGCAAUCUCUCAAUAUCGCCAGCAAGUCUGAUGACGAUAAAUCAAAGAGAAAAGAUAAAAAGUCCGGCGACAAAAAGGAUAAAGACAUUAGUGAACAAAAAUCAUCUUCAAACAAGUCUUUGCAGAAGGAUGACAAAGAAAAGUCUUCAGUGAAUAUCUCUACAAAAUCGUCGUCCACAGGAAAGCAGACAACACCUUCACGUAAUCUUUGGAUAUCCGGGUUAUCUUCAUUAACGAGAGCCAGGGAUCUGAAAACUAUAUUUUCUAAAUAUGGAAAAGUUGUCGGAGCCAAAGUGGUCACCAACACCCGAACUCCGGCUACACGUUGUUAUGACUACGUAACAAUGCCAUCAUCGUCGAAUGCCAGUCGUUGCAUUGAGAAUUUGCAUCAUACCGAACUCCAUGGACGGAUAAUAUCAGUAGAGCUCACUAAAAACGAAAUCAGCAACUCAACAAGUGUCGCCAAAACACGAAUGGAUAAAACAAAAAUAGAUCCAGUUGGAAAAGCGGAUGUAGUAACAACCAUUUGGGAGUUACUAAUACCAUGGCAGCUUGAGUUAAAACAACCGGACACAUAACAUUGCUAUUCUUUAUAGUCGGCGUGCUAGUAGCAAUCUUCAUUCACUAUCGAUUGAAAACCAGGCGACGACUACAAACUGCAAUCACUUUCCCAGCAGUCACUUUUGCCGCCCGGGAGAAUGUUCAAAAUUGAACAUGUUCGUUGCUGCCAAAGCACGGACAACAAUAUUAUAUUUAAACCUUUUAUAUAUUUCAAUGUUAAAUAAGAUAAGAAAUAAUCUAGCUAUUGGAAUCAUACAGUCCACUACUAAUAGAUAUCUAUGUUCAAAUAUAUUGAACAUACGUACAAAAAAACACAUAAAAAUAUAUGCAUUGAUAUGCAUCAUAGAAACAUAUGUAUAUGAGGCACGUAUGCAUUAAUAAGUGAUACGCAUGCACUCAAGAAAUACAUACUAAACAUAUUUACUUAGGUUUGGGCAAUUGAUUACAAAUGCACAUGUGCACUUGAAAACAACCCAAACUAAGCAAUAAAAAUUAUACUUGUAUGAUAGCACACACACACACACACAUGUAUUGUAUUGUAAAGUUGAAAACAACCCCAUGUGGUGUGCUGUAAAUAUACGAGUACAUAUAUUUAAUUAGAUAAGUUAGACUUAUAAAAUACAGGUUUACAAAUUUAAUAAUAAAAUCAGAAUGAAUAUAUUCUCCCUCAAUGUAAGACUUUCAAUUCCCCCCACCAGCGGUAAGGAUUGUUAGAAGCUAUAUUGAGGUAUUAACA